GGGCCGGUCGUCUAGUGGGAGGAUAACCCCUUUUACUCAAACCGCCCUUGCAAGGGUCGCGUAAAGGGGCUUCGAUCCCGAGAGCGGCGGAGGUCCCGGGUUCGAAUCCCGGCCGGUCCA
rnacentral:tRNA from 1 species